UGCCAGCAGCCGCGGUAAUACGGGGGGUGCAAGCGUUAUUCGGAAUUAUUGGGCGUAAAGCGCGCGUAGGCGGUUUCGUAGGUCAGAUGUGAAAUCCCGGGGCUCAACCCCGGAAGUGCAUUUGAAACCCCGGAACUUGAGUAUGGGAGAGGGAAGUGGAAUUCCAGGUGUAGAGGUGAAAUUCGUAGAUAUCUGGAGGAACACCGGUGGCGAAGGCGACUUUCUGGCCUAUUCUUGACGCUGAGGCACGAAAGCUAGGGUAUCAAACGGGAUUAGAUA
rnacentral:rRNA from 1 species